rnacentral:rRNA from 1 species
AGAGUUUGAUCCUGGCUCAGGAUGAACGCUGGCGGCGUGCCUAAUACAUGCAAGUCGAGCGAACGGACGAGAAGCUUGCUUCUCUGAUGUUAGCGGCGGACGGGUGAGUAACACGUGGAUAACCUACCUAUAAGACUGGGAUAACUUCGGGAAACCGGAGCUAAUACCGGAUAAUAUUUUGAACCGCAUGGUUCAAAAGUGAAAGACGGUCUUGCUGUCACUUAUAGAUGGAUCCGCGCUGCAUUAGCUAGUUGGUAAGGUAACGGCUUACCAAGGCAACGAUGCAUAGCCGACCUGAGAGGGUGAUCGGCCACACUGGAACUGAGACACGGUCCAGACUCCUACGGGAGGCAGCAGUAGGGAAUCUUCCGCAAUGGGCGAAAGCCUGACGGAGCAACGCCGCGUGAGUGAUGAAGGUCUUCGGAUCGUAAAACUCUGUUAUUAGGGAAGAACAUAUGUGUAAGUAACUGUGCACAUCUUGACGGUACCUAAUCAGAAAGCCACGGCUAACUACGUGCCAGCAGCCGCGGUAAUACGUAGGUGGCAAGCGUUAUCCGGAAUUAUUGGGCGUAAAGCGCGCGUAGGCGGUUUUUUAAGUCUGAUGUGAAAGCCCACGGCUCAACCGUGGAGGGUCAUUGGAAACUGGAAAACUUGAGUGCAGAAGAGGAAAGUGGAAUUCCAUGUGUAGCGGUGAAAUGCGCAGAGAUAUGGAGGAACACCAGUGGCGAAGGCGACUUUCUGGUCUGUAACUGACGCUGAUGUGCGAAAGCGUGGGGAUCAAACAGGAUUAGAUACCCUGGUAGUCCACGCCGUAAACGAUGAGUGCUAAGUGUUAGGGGGUUUCCGCCCCUUAGUGCUGCAGCUAACGCAUUAAGCACUCCGCCUGGGGAGUACGACCGCAAGGUUGAAACUCAAAGGAAUUGACGGGGACCCGCACAAGCGGUGGAGCAUGUGGUUUAAUUCGAAGCAACGCGAAGAACCUUACCAAAUCUUGACAUCCUUUGACAACUCUAGAGAUAGAGCCUUCCCCUUCGGGGGACAAAGUGACAGGUGGUGCAUGGUUGUCGUCAGCUCGUGUCGUGAGAUGUUGGGUUAAGUCCCGCAACGAGCGCAACCCUUAAGCUUAGUUGCCAUCAUUAAGUUGGGCACUCUAAGUUGACUGCCGGUGACAAACCGGAGGAAGGUGGGGAUGACGUCAAAUCAUCAUGCCCCUUAUGAUUUGGGCUACACACGUGCUACAAUGGACAAUACAAAGGGCAGCGAAACCGCGAGGUCAAGCAAAUCCCAUAAAGUUGUUCUCAGUUCGGAUUGUAGUCUGCAACUCGACUACAUGAAGCUGGAAUCGCUAGUAAUCGUAGAUCAGCAUGCUACGGUGAAUACGUUCCCGGGUCUUGUACACACCGCCCGUCACACCACGAGAGUUUGUAACACCCGAAGCCGGUGGAGUAACCUUUUAGGAGCUAGCCGUCGAAGGUGGGACAAAUGAUUGGGG